ACGGUUUCAAAAUAUUAGGUUGGAAUAAACGAGUGUAAAUUCUAGUUUUACUGUUUUGAUUAUGCGCCUUUAAAUUUUCGGCAUUUACAUAUUUUCGAGAUUUACUGCAUUGAAACCAAGCGUUCGAUUGCUUGACGUCACUUCGUGAUCGACAUCGAUGAAACGCUUGCUUACGCUGUAGAUGUUAUUUUCUGUGCAAAUACAAGCGUCUAUUGAUAACGAAACGAUAAUUUGUCAACAAUGAGAAUCAGAUACUUGGCUUAAUAAUUUUCAUUUAAAAUGUCUAAUUUGGAUAUAAUUCGGAAUACAAAACGAAACUUAAAAGGUAUUGAAAACAACAACGUUCAAAAGAACAAUGUGGAUUUCAAUAGAAAGACUAUUUCCACCGACAAUCAGGAUUUCCGGUAUGACCACUGUUAUUUUGACGAUUUUUCUAUCGGUUCGUCGGUAAGCGUGACCACAUGUGACAACAGCGAUGCUAGUUGGAUAUAAAAUUGGUAGACGUGUCGUUGAACUCGACACAUUGACCGAAUCGCUUUUAGCAUGCAGUGCUUGUCAAGUGCCCAUGAAUUUACUUAACACUGUAGAAAGCAGGGAUUUCGGACAGGCAUGUGUUUUGGACAUACAGUUUAGCAAUUGUGGUGCAGUAAAUAAUGUGGCUACUGGACGGAAACAUGGCAGAGUUUAUGACAUGAUCACAAAGCUUGCAUUUGGGUAAAUCAAAAACUGGGUGUUUCACCUGGGACUUUCACAUCGAAACUGGCCCUUCUCCAUGACCUUCAGCACAAAAAAAGAAA